UUUUCUUUAUGGUUUGGUUUCGAUUUGAUUUCAGGGGGUAGAGAGCAUUUCUUCUGGUGGCCGUCGGAAGUCGGAACUAGACAUGAGCUACACCCGAAGAAACAAAAAAUAGAAGAGGACAAUUUGAUCCCUCAGCCACAGCAGAGAUAGAAGAAGCAGAGAGUGGAAACAAGAACAGCAGCUUCAGCUACAUACAGAACCUUGAAGACCAAAUUGUCUAUCAUGUUCAAGUGAAAAUCAAGACCACGUUUCCAUUUGAUACCAGAGAAUUUACAACCGAUCCUUCCCCGUCAUCACCUUCUUCGAUGGCCAUGUCUUCUUUGCCACUACAGACACAAAAACAAAACCUUGCUCUCUCUUUCUCUGUCUCUGUCUCUGGGUAUGUGUUGCCUCUGUUCUGUCGUGUAGAUAAAGUGGCUGACUUGCUCUGUUUCGGACAAGAAGAGCAAAAAAAGACAGGAUUUUGCUGGUCUGGGUUGGAUUGAGGAGGGUGUUCUGGGGGAUUAAAGGGAUUUGAUGGAAGAAUCUUGUAGUGGAAAAUGGUGUUUUCGGUCUUUCCAGCUAGCAAAGACAGGAUCUCAUACUCCUCUCUGUUUUAUAACACUUUUUUUUUCUUUUUUUCCUUUUGUUUUGGCUGAGCGAUGUUUGAAAAUGUGGGCAAUAAUUGUUUUUUAUAUUAAUAGAUUAAAAUAAUAAAUAUUUUGAAAGCA